rnacentral:lncRNA from 1 species
GACUCGGUGGCUAGCCGAUGAGGAGGCCGCGGGGGGAACCCGGCCCCCGGGCCCCGAGACCGACUGAGGGAGCGACCUGCGCAGGGCCCGGGGAGUCAUGGUCUCCAUCACCCAACUCCAUGCUUCGAGUCCUGCUCUCUGCUCAGACCUCCCCUGCUCGGCUGUCUGGCCUGCUGCUGAUCCCUCCAGUACAGCCCUGCUGUUUGGGGCCCAGCAAAUGGGGGGACCGGCCUGUUGGAGGAGGCCCCAGUGCAGGUCCUGUGCAAGGACUGCAGCGGCUUCUGGAACAGGCGAAGAGCCCUGGGGAGCUGCUGCGCUGGCUGGGCCAGAACCCCAGCAAGGUGCGCGCCCACCACUACUCGGUGGCGCUUCGUCGUCUGGGCCAGCUCUUGGGGUCUCGGCCACGGCCCCCUCCUGUGGAGCAGGUCACACUGCAGGACUUGAGUCAGCUCAUCAUCCGAAACUGCCCCUCCUUUGACAUUCACACCAUCCACGUGUGUCUGCACCUUGCAGUCUUACUUGGCUUUCCAUCUGAUGGUCCCCUGGUGUGUGCCCUGGAACAGGAGCGAAGGCUCCGCCUCCCUCCGAAGCCACCUCCCCCUUUGCAGCCCCUUCUCCGAGGUGGGCAAGGGUUGGAAGCUGCUCUAAGCUGCCCCCGUUUUCUGCGGUAUCCACGGCAGCAUCUGAUCAGCAGCCUGGCAGAGGCAAGGCCAGAGGAACUGACUCCCCACGUGAUGGUGCUCCUGGCCCAGCACCUGGCCCGGCACCGGUUGCGGGAGCCCCAGCUUCUGGAAGCC